GUUACCUACGGGGCAGCAGGCGCUGGAGUGUGUGGUGGGCGAGCGUUGUCAGGGGUGAAGGGGCGUAAGGCGCGUGCAGGGGGCGAAGUACGCCCGGCGGGAAAGCCGCCGGCUGAGCCUGGGGGGGGCGUCGGGGACGGAGGGGCGUGAGGGUCGCAGGGGCUGGUGGAAUUCCCGGUGUAGUGGUGAAAUGCGUAGAGAUCGGGAGGAACACCCGUGGCGAAGGCGGCCAGCUGGGCGACACCUGACACUGAGACGCGAAGGCGUGGGGAGCGAACGGGAUUAGAUACCCUUGUAGUC
rnacentral:rRNA from 1 species